AGCCACAGCCAUAUCACCCUGCAGCCCAAGACUGGUUACUCACUGAAGCUAUGCAGGGCUGAGCCUGGUCAGUACCUGGAUGGGAGACCACAUGGGAAAACUGUUGGCAGGUGUUG
ensembl:rRNA 5S_rRNA 5S ribosomal RNA